GAUGAACGCUGGCGGCGUGCCUAAUACAUGCAAGUCGAGCGAACGGACGAGAAGCUUGCUUCUCUGAUGUUAGCGGCGGACGGGUGAGUAACACGUGGAUAACCUACCUAUAAGACUGGGAUAACUUCGGGAAACCGGAGCUAAUACCGGAUAAUAUUUUGAACCGCAUGGUUCAAAAGUGAAAGACGGUCUUGCUGUUACUUAUAGAUGGAUCCGCGCUGCAUUAGCUAGUUGGUAAGGUAACGGCUUACCAAGGCAACGAUGCAUAGCCGACCUGAGAGGGUGAUCGGCCACACUGGAACUGAGACACGGUCCAGACUCCUACGGGAGGCAGCAGUAGGGAAUCUUCCGCAAUGGGCGAAAGCCUGACGGAGCAACGCCGCGUGAGUGAUGAAGGUCUUCGGAUCGUAAAACUCUGUUAUUAGGGAAGAACAUAUGUGUAAGUAACUGUGCACAUCUUGACGGUACCUAAUCAGAAAGCCACGGCUAACUACGUG
rnacentral:rRNA from 1 species